UGAGACACGGACCAGACUCCUACGGGAGGCAGCAGUGAGGAAUAUUGGACAAUGGGCGGGAGCCUGAUCCAGCCAUGCCGCGUGCAGGAAGACGGUCCUAUGGAUUGUAAACUGCUUUUGUACGGGAAGAACAAGGGGCACGUGUGCCCCUCUGACGGUACCGUAAGAAUAAGGAUCGGCUAACUCCGUGCCAGCAGCCGCGGUAAUACGGAGGAUCCGAGCGUUAUCCGGAAUCAUUGGGUUUAAAGGGUCCGUAGGCGGGCCAUUAAGUCAGGGGUGAAAGUCUGCGGCUCAACCGUAGAAUUGCCCUUGAUACUGGUGGUCUUGAGUUAUGGUGAAGUAACUAGAAUAUGUAGUGUAGCGGUGAAAUGCAUAGAUAUUACAUAGAAUACCGAUUGCGAAGGCAGGUUACUAACCAUAUACUGACGCUGAUGGACGAAAGCGUGGGGAGCGAACAGGAUUAGAUACCCUGGUAGUCCACGCCGUAAACGAUGGAUACUAGCUGUCCGGAUGCAAAUCUGGGCGGCCAAGCGAAAGUGAUAAGUAUCCCACCUGGGGAGUACGUCCGCAAGGAUGAAACUCAAAGGAAUUGACGGGGGCCCGCACAAGCGGUGGAGCAUGUGGUUUAAUUCGAUGAUACGCGAGGAACCUUACCAGGGCUUAAAUGUGGUCUGACAGCUUUAGAGAUAGAGCCUCCUUCGGGCAGAUCACAAGGUGCUGCAUGGUUGUCGUCAGCUCGUGCCGUGAGGUGUCAGGUUAAGUCCUAUAACGAGCGCAACCCCUGCCGUUAGUUGCCAGCAUGUAAAGAUGGGGACUCUAACGGGACUGCCGGUGCAAACCGCGAGGAAGGUGGGGAUGACGUCAAAUCAUCACGGCCCUUACGUCCUGGGCCACACACGUGCUACAAUGGCCGGUACAGAGAGCAGCCACUGGGCAACCAGGAGCGAAUCUAUAAAACCGGUCACAGUUCGGAUCGGGGUCUGCAACUCGACCCCGUGAAGCUGGAAUCGCUAGUAAUCGGAUAUCAGCCAUGAUCCGGUGAAUACGUUCCCGGGCCUUGUACACACCGCCCGUCAAGCCAUGGAAGCCGGGAGUGCCUGAAGUCCGUCACCGCAAGGAGC
rnacentral:rRNA from 1 species